AAAAGAACUUAGAGGUGAGAGUUCAACAGGGCGUAAAACCGCUUAGAAGCAAACGGAUGGUGCUGACUUUGUUUCUGCCGGAUUCAAACGGUCCGAUGGUUGAUCGCUUGUACGCCGAUCGAAAGACGGUGUGCAGGGUGCACUCGGCCUAGAACCGUUGCAUUUUCGGUAGAAUGCAUCAUGACCGUUGAUGUCGCUGGCAUAAGACCGGCUCGUUGCCGACUGCAGGUUUUCGGACUUGCAGUGCCCCACUUGCCGUGUUCUGUCCGAGUUGGCGUCAACGGGUAACUGGACGUGCCCGAUUCUUCUCGCCUGGUGCCGUCUCUUGGCUGAAUGACUCGUUUAACCGUGCUUGCACGGCGGAACAACCCUCAGUCAUCUGUACGGUAUCUGUGCGAGUUGGCACUGAAGGUCAAUGGUGUCCGCGUCAGUCUCCCAUCCGACCCGUCUUGAAACACGGACCAAGGAGUCUAACAUGUGCGCAAGUCAUGGGGUGGAAAACCCAAAGGCGAAAUGAAGGUAAAGGCCGCAAGGCUGAGGUGUGAUGUUCAGUUUAACUGGACCGCAACACCGUCCCAUCGCAUUGGCUCGUCCAAGCGGUGGAGAAAGAGCUACCACGUUGGGACCCGAAAGAUGGUGAACUAUGCCUGAGCAAGAUGAAGCCAGAGGAAACUCUGGUGGAGGUCUGUAGCGGUUCUGACGUGCAAAUCGAUCGUCAGACU
rnacentral:rRNA from 1 species